rnacentral:rRNA from 1 species
AGGAAUUGGCGGGGGAGCACUACAACGGGUGGAGCCUGCGGUUCAAUUGGAUUCAACGCCGGAAAGCUUACCGGGUCAGACAGCACUAUGAAGGUCAAGCUAAAGACUUUACCGAAUUCGCUGAGAGGAGGUGCAUGGCCGUCGUCAGUUCGUAUCGUGAGACAUCCUGUUAAGUCAGGCAACGAGCAAGACCCGUGCCCACAGUUGCCAGCAUACCCUCCGGGGUGAUGGGCACACUGUGGGGACCGCCGCUGCUAAAGCGGAGGAAGGUGCGGGCUACGGUAGGUCAGUAUGCCCCGAAUCAUCCGGGCUACACGCGGGCUACAAUGGUUGGGACAAUGGGCACCUACACCGAGAGGUGAUGGUAAUCUCCUAAACCCAGCCUUAGUUCGGAUUGAGGGCUGCAACUCGCCCUCAUGAGGCCGGAAUCCGUAGUAAUCGCGUAUCAAUAUCACGCGGUGAAUACGUCCCUGCUCCUUGCACACACCGCCCGUCAAACCAUGCGAGUGAGGUCUGAAUGAGGGCACGCUUUUUGGCGUGUUCGAAUUUGGGCUUCGCGAGUGGGGUUAAGUCGUAACAAGGUAGCCUCAGUCAGUCAA